rnacentral:rRNA from 1 species
GGGGAAUAUUGGACAAUGGGCGAAAGCCUGAUCCAGCAAUGCCGCGUGAGUGAUGAAGGCCUUAGGGUUGUAAAGCUCUUUUAGUAGGGAAGAUAAUGACGGUACCUACAGAAAAAGCCCCGGCUAACUCCGUGCCAGCAGCCGCGGUAAGACGGAGGGGGCUAGCGUUGUUCGGAAUUACUGGGCGUAAAGAGCGCGUAGGCGGUUUAGUGUGUUGGGAGUGAAAGCCCGGGGCUUAACCUCGGAAUGGCUUCCAAAACUGCUAAGCUAGAGUAUGGUAGGGGAUGGUGGAAUUCCUAGUGUAGAGGUGAAAUUCUUAGAUAUUAGGAGGAACACCGGAGGCGAAGGCGACCAUCUGGGCCAUAACUGACGCUAAUGCGCGAAAGCGUGGGGAGCAAAC